GAUGAACGCUGGCGGCGUGCCUAAUACAUGCAAGUCGAGCGAACAGAUGAGGAGCUUGCUCCUCUGACGUUAGCGGCGGACGGGUGAGUAACACGUGGAUAACCUACCUAUAAGACUGGGAUAACUUCGGGACACCGGAGCUAAUACCGGAUAAUAUAUUGAACCGCAUGGUUCAAUAGUGAAAGACGGUUUUGCUGUCACUUAUAGAUGGAUCCGCGCCGCAUUAGCUAGUUGGUAAGGUAACGGCUUACCAAGGCAACGAUGCGUAGCCGACCUGAGAGGGUGAUCGGCCACAUUGGAACGGAGACACGGUCCAGACUCCUACGGGAGGCAGCAGUAGGGAAUCUUCCGCAAUGGGCGAAAGCCUGACGGAGCAACGCCGCGUGAGUGAUGAAGGUCUUCGGAUCGUAAAACUCUGUUAUUAGGGAAGAACAAAUGUGUAAGUAACUAUGCACGUCUUGACGGUACCUAAUCAGAAAGCCACGGCUAACUACGUG
rnacentral:rRNA from 1 species